CCUACGGGAGGCAGCAGUGGGGAAUUUUGGACAAUGGGCGAAAGCCUGAUCCAGCAAUGCCGCGUGUGGGAAGAAGGCCUUCGGGUUGUAAACCACUUUUGUACGGAACGAAACGGCUCGCUUUAAUACAGUGGGCUAAUGACGGUACCGUAAGAAUAAGCACCGGCUAACUACGUGCCAGCAGCCGCGGUAAUACGUAGGGUGCGAGCGUUAAUCGGAAUUACUGGGCGUAAAGCGUGCGCAGGCGGUUAUAUAAGACAGUUGUGAAAUCCCCCGGGCUCAACCUGGGAAUUGCAUCUGUGACUGUAUAGCUAGAGUACGGUAGAGGGGGGAUGGAAUUCCGCGUGUAGCAGUGAAAUGCGUAGAUAUGCGGAGGAACACCGAUGGCGAAGGCAAUCCCCUGGACCUGUACUGACGCUCAUGCACGAAAGCGUGGGGAGCAAACAGGAUUAGAUACCCUGGUAGUCCACGCCCUAAACGAUGUCAACUGGUUGUUGGGUGCAUUAGUACUCAGUAACGAAGCUAACGCGUGAAGUUGACCGCCUGGGGAGUACGGCGCAAGGUUGAACUUCAAAUGAAUUGACGGNGNGNGAGNGCGACGGACGACGACGAGGGAGGAGG
rnacentral:rRNA from 1 species